UACUCCAGAGACUGUUCAGCUUUUGAGUUUCUCAGUUAGACCUCAAAUGGCCUGGAGGUAUUUGGGAAUUACAGCAGGGUAGUAAGGAAAUCCAGAAAUGAACUAUGAAGGAGGGUCAUCUGCUCAGUUUAGGGCGGGCAGAGAGAGACAUGGGAGGGCUUCUCCUAGAUUCUCCUAGAAGUGUUACUAGCAUGAGCUGAGAGCAAUGCAUACGUGAGUGACUCAGAGCAGAGCAGGCAUGGGG
rnacentral:lncRNA from 1 species